rnacentral:rRNA from 1 species
UACGAAGGGGGCUAGCGUUGCUCGGAAUUACUGGGCGUAAAGCGCACGUAGGCGGCUUUCUAAGUCAGGGGUGAAAUCCUGGAGCUCAACUCCAGAACUGCCUUUGAUACUGAGAAGCUUGAGUCCGGGAGAGGUGAGUGGAACUGCGAGUGUAGAGGUGAAAUUCGUAGAUAUUCGCAAGAACACCAGUGGCGAAGGCGGCUCACUGGCCCGGUACUGACGCUGAGGUGCGAAAGCGUGGGGAGCAAACAGG